GAAUGCUUACACUGCAAGUCGAGCGGAAGGCCCUUCCGGGUACUCGAGCGGCGAACGGGUGAGUAACACGUGAGCAACCUGCCCUUAGCUCUGGGAUAGCUCCGGGAAACCGGAAUUAAUACCAGAUACGACAACGGCCGACAUCGGCUGUUGUGGAAAGGAUUUCCGGCUAAGGAUGGGCUCGCGGCCUAUCAGCUAGUUGGUGGGGUAAUGGCCUACCAAGGCGACGACGGGUAGCCGGCCUGAGAGGGCGACCGGCCACACUGGGACUGAGACACGGCCCAGACUCCUACGGGAGGCAGCAGUGGGGAAUAUUGCGCAAUGGGCGAAAGCCUGACGCAGCGACGCCGCGUGGGGGAUGAAGGCCUUCGGGUUGUAAACCCCUUUCAGCAGGGACGAAGCGCAAGUGACGGUACCUGCAGAAGAAGCGCCGGCUAACUACGUGCCAGCAGCCGCGGUAAUACGUAGGGCGCAAGCGUUGUCCGGAAUUAUUGGGCGUAAAGAGCUCGUAAGCGGUCUGUUACGUCUGCUGUGAAAAUCCAGGGCUUAACCCUGGACUUGCAGUGGAUACGGGCAGACUAUAAGCAGGUAGGGGAGAAUGGAAUUCCCGGUGUAGCGGUGAAAUGCGCAAAUUUCGGGAAGAACACCGGUGACUAAAGCGGUUCUCUGGGCCUGACCUGACCCUGAAGACCGAAAGCGUGGGGAGACGAAAGGAUUAAAUACCCUGGGUAUCCCCGCCUUAAAAGUUGGGGAGCAAGGUGUGGGGUCACUUCAAGAAUCCAGAGCCGGAACUAAACAUUAAACCCCCCGCUAGGGGAGUACAGCCCCCAGGCUUAACUCCAAAGAACCGACAGAGGCCCCAACAACAUGUGAAACAUUUGCCUAAUUCAAAUCU
rnacentral:rRNA from 1 species